AACGAACGCUGGCGGCAGGCUUAACACAUGCAAGUCGAACGCGUGUAGCAAUACACGAGUGGCGCACGGGUGAGUAACGCGUGGAUAUCUGCCUUUUUGUUCGGAAUAACCCCGGGAAACUGGGGCUAAUACCGGAUGGUUCCUUCGGGAUCAAGAUUCAUCGCCAAAAGAGGAGUCCGCGUACGAUUAGCUAGUUGGUGAGGUAAUGGCUCACCAAGGCGACGAUCGUUAGCUGGUCUGAGAGGACGAUCAGCCACACUGGGACGGAGACACGGCUCAGACUCCUACGGGAGGCAGCAGUGGGGAAUAUUGGACAAUGGGGGCAACCCUGAUCCAGCCAUGCCGCGUGAGUGAUGAAGGCCUUCGGGUUGUAAAGCUCUUUUGGCGGGGACGAUGAUGACGGUACCCGCAGAAUAAGCCCCGGCUAACUUCGUGCCAGCCGCCGCAGUAACAC
rnacentral:rRNA from 1 species